rnacentral:lncRNA from 1 species
UUUACCUUCAUAAAACAUCUAAUUGAAGCUAUAGAUGUACUGCUAAGCUCUCAUGUGUUAAAUGUGGUAGGUCUUUGAUUGAUCAAUGUGCUUUAGAGCUCUGUGCUUUUCUUGAAAUGAGACUCUUAGAAGAGUCUUUCCCUUAGGCCAAUAGACUGAUUGGGCCUUGAUAGAGUCGCGAUGUUGUCAUUAGGAUACCGUGAUUAUUAAAUUAAUUUUUUUAAAAAAUAAAAAAUACGUAGAAAGUAGUG